GUAUGGUGCAAGCGUUAUCCGGAUUUACUGGGUGUAAAGGGAGCGUAGGCGGCGCGUUAAGUCUGAUGUGAAAACCCGAGGCUCAACCACGGGAGUGCAUUGGAAACUGGCGGGCUGGAGUGCCGGAGAGGUAAGCGGAAUUCCUAGUGUAGCGGUGAAAUGCGUAGAUAUUAGGAGGAACACCAGUGGCGAAGGCGGCUUACUGGACGGCAACUGACGCUGAGGCUCGAAAGCGUGGGGAGCAA
rnacentral:rRNA from 1 species